rnacentral:rRNA from 1 species
UUCCUACGGGGGGCAGCAGUGGGGAAUAUUGCGCAAUGGGCGAAAGCCUGACGCAGCGACGCCGCGUGAGGGAUGAAGGUCUUCGGAUCGUAAACCUCUGUCAGCAGGGAAGAACGGUCACUGUGCUAAUCAGCAGUGAAUUGACGGUACCUGCAAAGGAAGCACCGGCUAACUACGUGCCAGCAGCCGCGGUCAUACGUAGGAUCCGAGCAUUAUCCGGAGUGACUGGGUGUAAAGAGUUGCGUAGGUGGCAUAAUAAGUAGCUAGUGAAAUCUGGUGGCUCAACCAUUCAGACUAUUAGCUAA